rnacentral:rRNA from 1 species
GAUGAACGCUGGCGGCGUGCCUAAUACAUGCAAGUCGAGCGAACAGACGAGGAGCUUGCUCCUCUGACGUUAGCGGCGGACGGGUGAGUAACACGUGGAUAACCUACCUAUAAGACUGGGAUAACUUCGGGAAACCGGAGCUAAUACCGGAUAAUAUAUUGAACCGCAUGGUUCAAUAGUGAAAGACGGUUUUGCUGUCACUUAUAGAUGGAUCCGCGCCGCAUUAGCUAGUUGGUAAGGUAACGGCUUACCAAGGCGACGAUGCGUAGCCGACCUGAGAGAGGGAUCGGCCACACUGGAACGGAGACACGGUCCAGACUCCUACGGGAGGCAGCAGUAGGGAAUCUUCCGCAAUGGGCGGAAGCCUGACGGAGCAACGCCGCGCGAGGGAUGAAGGUCUUCGGAUCGUAAAGCUCUCUUAUUAGGGAAAAACAAAUUUGUAAGUAACUAUGCACGUCUUGACGGUAACUAAUCAGAAAGCCACGGCUAACUACGUG